GUGUUCAUCAGGAGAAACAUAAAAUGGCGUUUUGUGUUGUUCGGUUAUUCUUUGCUCAGUUAUUUAUAAUAAACCCUUUAUAUAAACUAUAAUAGUGCUUUGAAUGCAUUGUCGCAAGAAACCAAGAAGCUUCUUCACUAAAUUGUAAGUUUCUUAGAAUAAAUAAAAAAUUAAACCAAGGAAGGAAAUGAAACGAAUCAGAAAUGUAACUAAUAAAGCAUUUAAUGAAGAAACUAAAAUCCUUUCCACCUCAGUUAUAAGUUCCUUAGCCCAAUGAGAUUAAACUGGCAUGAAAUUUUAUGAAGAAAGAAAAUGAAGUGAAUUAUAAACGUAAAUAUAAAAGGUAUCAGGAUCACUUAUCCGGAAACCACUCGUCGAGUCUUAUUUUCUUCAGUCAGUAGAACCAAUUGAUUGAAUCAAUCAACUAGCACACCACAAUAAUUGAAAACUUCCGAGUUAGAACUCUCAGAACAUUAUUAAAGUCUAUACUCAUUUGGAGAUUGACAUAAGCACGAAUUGCUUAGAAUCGUUUUGUCCGAGUUGUGGACUUUCAUAAGUAAUUUUAUGUUUUUAGUAUGCAAUUUGUCACAGUGUAAUUUAUUCCUUCAAUAGUAUAUACUCACUUGUGUACAUGUUUAAUUGUCCCAACUAAGGUUUAUAACCUACUGCUCCUUAAACAUUGGAGUUGAUGAAUUGACAAUUCAAACAUGUAUCUAAAGGCUUAAUUAUUAACCCAUUACAGUUUUUAUGUAGUUCAUGAGGCUUAAUUAUCUCUUAUGCGUCAAUUGGAAUAAAGACAUUUUCUUUUUACCUUAUCGAGGGGUCAGAAGGUCAUUUUAAUGUGUUUUUGAUUUAACAUAUGACACUGGACUGUCAUCUCAUUUAGUUGUGUUGAGUAAUUUUACCUAAUUUUUAUCCUCGAUGGAUUAUGAAUCCUAUUUACUAUCUGUCCAUGAGGAUUUUCCUUAAUUUUUCAUUCUUUCAUACUAAAGUUAUGAUUGUAAAAAAGUAACUGGUGUUUAUAAUAAUUUCAUUAUGUCUCCUUCAAAGAAUUUCUGAAAAUAUUUUUCACUAAUAACGAUAUCAUUUUUUUAUUUCCUUUCUAAUUAUUAAAUAAAUCAAAUUAUUUUGAAAGUAUUUUAUGGCUGCCAGGGAUUCUUUGUCAUUUGUAUUAUGAUAAUAUCACCCAAAUUUACUGUGAUUAAUCCUCUAAAUUUAUGUGAGUAAUAAAAAGAAUUAUUAUUCAUUAGCUGUUGAAAUUUUGGUGGUGUAGAUUUACCAUUUUACCAAGCAUAUGCCUAAGAUUGAUCCUUUUCGGAUUGUCAUAAAAAUAGUCAUAAAAAUAUCGCAUUCCCAAUUGUGGACAGUGAAUCAUUUUUUAUUUAAUAAUCGAAUUCAGUGUUGGUGGCAAUUUGUUAUUGGUAAAUUUCUCAUUUUAUAUCAAACAACUUUUAUCCUCCAAUUUCGGACAACCUGCUGUUUGACUUUAAGGACCUAAUAUUGACGUAUAUGAAUAUAUUCUUUACUUCAAUGAAGUCUUAUCACCCGAAUUGUAUGGGAAACCAUGAGGAGACCUUUCUAAAUAGGGAAAUAGGCCUGUGUAUUUUUUUGUCGCGUUCACUUAAUGAACAAUAUGACACUGGAGAUUUAAAAAGAAAACUAAAUUUUCAAUUACUACGUUCCCGAUAUUGAGUUUUUGAGAAUGUCCCUUUUCUCACAUCUUGAAGGAUGAUCUCAUGUACUUAAAGCAGGCGUUACACUCGAAUUUCUUGAUUAAUUAGUUAUUCAACUGGGUGGACAUUAUUCGGUAACAAUAGUGAAAGUGAACCUGAGUUAGUUGAAGAAGAUAGUGUGCCUUGUAAUUAUACUAAUCUGAUUCUGUGACAAAAACCAAUCAUAAUCUACGUUGUGGGAAAAACAAAAAAAGUCUUAUUUUCUUUAUUAAACAUAUCCUUCCACGCAGGGACCUUAUCAAUCUUAUUAAAUAAGUUCUAGUAACUGCGCUGCUACU